CUAGAUGGUUGAUUGGCUGCCUUUAUAAGGAGGAAAGUCCGGACUCAUCAGAACACCAAAGCCGGAUAACAUCCGGCGGGGGUAACCCUAGGGAAAGUGCAACAGAAAAAAAACCGCCUUAGUGGUAAGGGUGAAAAGGUGGGGUAAGAGCCCACCACAUCUUUGGCAACAAAGUUGGUAAUGUAAACCCCUUUGGGAGCAAGUCCAAAAAGCAAAGUCAACUGACAAACGAUGUUCUGCGUUUUGCAUGGUAGGACGCUAGAAAUAAUUGGUAACAAUUAUUCAAGAUUAAUAGCCAAUACCUUCAAGGUACAGAAUCCGGCUUAUAGACCAUCUAGCUUU
rnacentral:RNase_P_RNA from 1 species